UACGGAGGGGGCUAGCGUUGUUCGGAAUUACUGGCGUAAAGCGCGCGUAGGCGGACCUGCAAGUCGGGGGUGAAAUCCUGGAGCUCAACUCCAGAACUGCCUUUGAUACUGGCGACCUUGAGUCCGGGAGAGGUGAGUGGAACUGCGAGUGUAGAGGUGAAAUUCGUAGAUAUUCGCAAGAACACCAGUGGCGAAGGCGGCUCACUGGCCCGGUACUGACGCUGAGGUGCGAAAGCGUGGGGAGCAAACAGGG
rnacentral:rRNA from 1 species